rnacentral:rRNA from 1 species
GUCCACGCAGUAAACGAUGUUCACUAGGUGUCGGUCUCGUUAAAUCGGGGUCGGUGCCGCAGCUAACGCAUUAAGUGAACCACCUGGGGAGUACAGUCGCAAGGCUGAAACUCAAAGGAAUUGACGGGGACCCCGCACAAACGGUGGAGCAUGUGGUUUAAUACGACGAUACGCGUGGAACCUUACCCAGACUUGACAUGUACGGGAAGACCUUAUGAAAGUAGGGUCGUCUCUCAAGGACUCGUACACAGGUGUUGCAUGGCUGUCGU